UACGGAGGAGGCAAGCGUUAUCCGGAUUUAUUGGGCGUAAAGCGUCCGUAGGUGGUUUUACAAGUCAGCUGGUAAAGCGUGAGGCUUAACCUCAUACAGGCGGUUGAAACUGUAGGACUAGAGUUUGGUAGGGGUUGCGGGAAUUUCCAGUGUAGCGGUGAAAUGCGUAGAUAUUGGGAAGAACACCGGUGGCGAAAGCGCGCGACUGGACCUGAACUGACACUGAGGGACGAAAGCUAGGGGAGCGAAAGGG
rnacentral:rRNA from 1 species